rnacentral:lncRNA from 1 species
CUUGCUGCUGCCAUAUAGGAAGUGCCUUUCACCUCCCAAAGUGAUUCUGAGGCCUCCCCAGCCAUGUGGAACUCAGAUUUAACCCCAAUAAUAUUUGAAGUCCUACUGAAGUGCCAUGUCAAAGGCAUUACAGUAGCUCUGAAGAAAAAGUAAAAUACCUUCUGAAACAACUCUGGGAAGAAGCUCACCACCCGGCCACGAUACCCACUUCUUGCUGCCAAGAAGCUUCUAGCUACACGGUUUUUCCUUCCACCCCACAGUGCAGUGGAAACAAGACCCAAGCUCUUCUCAAGGAGUAAGCACAGGACAAGUUUCCUGCUAAGUGGUCCUAAGUCAACAAGGCCAUCUGAUAGGAAUUUGAGGAGUAGUGAAUUUUAUAGGAAUAGAGGGGAAAGGACUCUUUUUCCAUGUAGGCUUCUCUUGGAGUGGGGAGAUUAGGAAAUCUCCAUGAUAUAAAAUGAUGAAAGUUCGAAUCAUUGUCACCCUACCGGAAAGACUCCAAUUUGACCUUAGUGCUUAAUCCCUUUAGUUUGAAGUGUAGCUUAAAAGUAUUUAAAUAAAAUACAGCUGCCCCCAAACUGUGAGACUGUGAGUGGGAAGGGACAUGACUGUGUACUUGGAGACCUCAGGUAUGUUGGGGGUCGGGGGCAGCCACCGGGACGGUUAGAAAACCCAAAUGAGUCUUCUAACACUCAUUUACCCAAUUUAAAGAGAACAUUUUGACAAUGUUGUGCAAAUUUUUUUGCUGCCCACUUUUAGAAACUAUACUAGGACAAUGUGGGUGGUAUAUCGGAUUAUGUACACGAAACAUGUGAAGUAAAUAGGGUUGUGCCAUUUCUAAACAUCCAAAUACUGAGGUACAAAGAGAUGGAAUGAGUGUCUCAUGAUCCCACAGCUUAUCGGUGUUAAAGUUUAAAUGAAGGGGGGAAAAGGCAAUAGAUCUGAGAAACUUCUAGUUCAUAGGUCUCACAUGUCAUUGGUAAAGCGUGUUUAAGCGGGGAAAAAUGAUGAUGCUUUCAGUUGGAUUCUUAAUGAAAACUUGUUACAUUCCUUUACUUUUCUCCAGAGACAGCCCAGGCGACAGUUUGCACUUCGCAUUCCCUAGGGUAUCCAGUCACUGCGUGUUCUCUGCCCUCUUUCAGGACACAGAUGAAAUCCAUCUUCUGUCUUUCAUGGGAGUGGUGGGAGGACACGGAGGUGGGGGCGGAAUCAAGUUUAAAUACUAAGAAAAUGAAAACAGAUGCGUGGAGAGAAGGCGAUGCUGGUGGGAAUGAAGGCCCGGAAGCCGUUCUCAGUCCUGGCUGCGUCUGCAUGGCGCUCCUCCCCAAAACCCUCCUCCCGAGCCUCCGGGAGGGGCUGGCCUCCGCGGGCAUCGCCAGCAGGGAACCGCUCCUCCCUCCGCGGAAAACCCUGCUCGGCAGUCCCAGCAUGCCUUUUUCAAUACACUGUUUGCAAUUAAUUGGGAGAACCAGAGCUGGGAGAAUUAGGAGACAGACCAGUCCCUGAAACACGUGAGGAGAAAAGUGCAGGGCCUUGUCUGUUUGCAGGCACGGAGAACAGGUGCCAAGGGCAGCGGCUCCUUGGCUGGCCCGCGGGUCCAGGGGACGUGAGCAGACCAGGCCGGUGGCGGGUGGCCGGCCUGGGCGGGAGGCCGCUGUUUGUGGAGGGCCGGCCUGCCAGCCCCCGGACGCCAGGGUGGACUCGGCGGCCUGGCGGGGCUCAAGCCCAGCUAUCCAUCACUAGCCGCCUAGCGGCUAGCACCCCGGAGCAGGAGCCGCCCCGCCCACCUGGCUCCGCCCAGCCGCUGGCCAGAGCUCAUGCGCGCGGGCUGACGUCAGCACCCCGCCCCCGCCCGAGUCAGACACCCGGGUCCGCUCCGCCUGAGACUGAAGGGCGCCGGGUGUCUGCGGGGGCGGGGGAAGCUUGGGGCUUCACCAGGGGGCCAGCUGCCUGGGGGUCUCUCUCCCUCCACCAGUUCUCCUGGUCCUGGAGGGAGCCAUCCUCCGCAUAAAAUACCUUCCUGAACCGCGAUGUUGCUGCCUGCAGGAUACAACCCAGGCUCUUUAUAGCACUCCUCACACAACUGCCUCUGGACCUACUUUUACAAGAGGGGGUGGGGUACUGAGAGGAGGUAACUGUUCCUUGUGGCACAGGAGGAAUUUGGCCAGGAGGCUGCUCGUCAUGUUACUGGAACUGUGUGGGCUGGGCCAGAUGAGCUUGCUGAGAGUCCCAACAAGGACCUAUCCAGAACCAGAAGGAGCCCCAGAGAGUGGCGGCCCUGGCCUCGCUCACACAGUGUGCACACACAGGCAGUUUUAUACCUCCAGCAUGUUCACGCAAAUAAAUAGCAACCCCAAAGAAAACCUUCACAGUGUCUGCCAAUGAGCAUCUCAUACAAUUUAUAGUAUGCUGUCUACAAUUAAUUGAACCAACUCCAGGACCUCAUGGUGGGGACACGGGGGUCACAGGCAGAGGAAAGGCCAGGUUAUGCAACAGUGUUGUAUAGUGCGCAUCUGGCUCAUCUUAUGUGCUGAAUAUACUGCAGGAGAUGGCAGGCUUGGAAAUGUCAGCCAUGGCCAAGAUCCUGGCCAAAGGAGGCAAAGAUGCUGGAGGCCACUGGAUUCACACAGGACUACCCUCACAGGGCUCUGGGGCUAUGAUGGGUUCUUCACUGACAAGAGAAGAAAGACCUGGGGGUCACAGAAGCCUGAGCGACCUGAGUGAAGGCAGGCAUCACAAGGCCUAGUCUUAGAGCUGAGACAUGGAGGCCUGCAAGUAUAGAGCAGAACAGUGGGUUGUUUUAUUUUUUAAUCAGUGUACUGAGACUUUACAGAUUCUUAUAACUUCCUGAGAAGAACAUACCAGUAUUUUAGGCGUCUGUCUUAAAUGUACCCUGUAUUGUUUCUUAGAACCCCAAAGAGGCCUACAAUGAUGCUGGCGUUUUGCCUUGUACUUGCCAUCUGAUGGCAGGUGAGUUUUCACAAGCAUAUUACAGCCACUUGAAGGUGACAUGAAGGUGAUACCUGCCUCCUCUCCUACAGACCAAAUACUGCUAAACACUGGCUCCACUCUCCAGACAUAAAAGUAUGUGCAUGGAUUCAAGGAGCUUUAUUUUUAGAAAACCCUUGAACACAUGUAUA